ACUCCUACGGGAGGCAGCAGUGGGGAAUAUUGCACAAUGGGCGCAAGCCUGAUGCAGCCAUGCCGCGUGUAUGAAGAAGGCCUUCGGGUUGUAAAGUACUUUCAGCAGUGAGGAAGGUGGUAUGUUAAUAGCAUACUCAUUGACUGUUAGCUGCAGAAGAAGCACCGGCUAACUCCGUGCCAGCAGCCGCGGUAAUACGGAGGGUGCGAGCGUUAAUCGGAAUUACUGGGCGUAAAGCGCAUGCAGGUGGUUUGUUAAGUCAGAUGUGAAAGCCCGGGGCUCAACCUCGGAAUUGCAUUUGAAACUGGCAAACUAGAGUACUGUAGAGGGGGGUAGAAUUUCAGGUGUAGCGGUGAAAUGCGUAGAGAUCUGAAGGAAUACCGGUGGCGAAGGCGGCCCCCUGGACAGAUACUGACACUCAGAUGCGAAAGCGUGGGGAGCAAACAGGAUUAGAUACCCUGGUAGCUACGAGU
rnacentral:rRNA from 1 species